GCCUUUGCUGAACACAGUCUCGUUGAAUCCUCCCAGUGCUGCAAAGACAGGACUCAGUGCCAAUUCACAGAGGAGGAAAUGGAGGCUCAGAGAAUUAAUCAUCCACCUGAGCUCACACAACAGGUGAGUGGCAGGGUUAGGACCGGGGGCCAGGUGGCCAGACUUUGGAGCCCAAGCUCCUCUGCAUGACGUGCCCCUGACGUGGUCUUGUCUUAGGGACUCAAAGCCUCACCAAGACUCCAAGCAUCGCUCUGGAGACUAUCAGACUCCAGGGGCCCAGCACAGAGCCAGGUCUGAACCAAGUCCUCUCGGCUGGAACCCCUGUUCUGCCCAGUUCAGGCAUCAGGUAGGUACCACGAGACUUGAAAUACCAGGAAGAGGAACGGGAAGCUGGCUGACAUCAGGUUUUCCGAGGGGCUUGUGGGUUUCUGUUAUCCCCCACUUUGAAAAGCCUGAUUGGGUUCAGGGUCAGAACCACCCUUUGCUCUAAGAGCAUUAAGCUGCUUCAGAGAAAAUGGCUUUGUUGGGUCUUUGGAAACCGUUCCUGAGAAAUGAUGGCGGCAGAUAAUGGACGUUCAGCAAACCUGUCUCUGACGCGCUGCUGGCUUUGGACGUGGUCCGAGAACUAGUGUGCUGUUGGUCUCCGGUUCCAGUCCCAGCUGGUCCUGGCUGCCCUGGGUGAGGCUUUCAGCUGGGCCGGAUUCUUGGGUCUUGAUUUAACACAUACCUAGCUGUUUGGGUCUUCUUCAAAAAAAAGAAAAACCCUCUCUGGAUUUCAGGAAGAGUCAUCAUCCUGUGAGACUAACAACAACAACAGGGGAGCCUUCGCACGGCUCUGCAUGUGAUCGAGACCCACCACGUGCCAGGCCGCUGGGGCAUCUGUCCGCUGCCCCAUGAGGUAUUCCUCACCUGGAGACAGAGGCCGUCAGGUUGGGCCCUGCUCUCCCUCCAGCCACCACCCCAUGGCACCCCAGGAGCACUCUCCUGUGCUUGGGGAAGCCGCCAGCAGCCUCAGUUUCCCCAUCUGUGUGAGACGCUUGGCUCUUUGGACUCUGGAGACCCGCAGAGAGCCCUUCCCGCGUGUGCAUUUGACGGUUUCGUGUGGUUGCUGUGACCAUCACCUCGGCCGAGCUCGGAGUGCCCCACGCCGGCCCGCCCAUUGACCGCUUCCCCGCACCAGCCUCUGAGGGAGGCGGUAUCGCUCCAUUACAGACUUACAAACCGAAGCUUUGAGAGGCUGACGAGCCCCGGCUGACACAUCGUGAGAAGCAGGCAGAGGAGGGAUUCAACCUGGAAUCUGUCUGAGGGCCGAGCCCGAGUUCUUAAUUAGUACCGUCUCCACUGUUAGGACUCCAGCUUUCACACCUACCAGCUCUCCGGAAGUGUCUCCCCUCCCAAUGAGAUAUCCAGUGCAAACAUCGGGUUGAAUGUCUGCACACCUUCGGCCCAGUGGCUGCACCAAGCUUAUGUAACCCUCCCCUGCUGCUGGACGUCCUAGUCAUUGCUAAUUUCUCACCAUUGUAAACACGCUGCCAUGAACUGCUUUGGGGACAGAUACGUAUUUUGGGUUGUUUUCCUGGGGCAGUGCUCACAGUGGAAUUGUGAGGUCAGAGCGGGGAAACACUUUCAUCAGCUCCCCACGUGGGCACCUUGUUGAGCAGAACAGCUGCAGCCCAGACGUGCCAGGCGGAGAUGAGAGGGCUGCUUCUCGGGGGCCCAGAUGGCCCAGAGUGGAGCCCCAUGCUGUUGCCGCACCGGGAGGUUGAACACACAGCCGAGCUUUCUCUGGUGGGCAGGGGUGGUGACCUGCCACACCUCUGGCCUGUUUAAAAGUGAGCAACGGAGUCUCAGAGAGGCAAAGUCACUUACCUAAGGUCACACAGCUGGGGCCAGAACUCACAAAACACAGCAUCUCAUACAGAGUGCACAAAGCUGCCACUGAUUCUCCAGAGUUUUGAGUUCACUCUCCCUUGGGCUCGGGGUCUCCAGCUAACCUCCUGCAGCCUCGUGGCGAGAUUUUCACAGAGGCUGGGUGUGGCUCAGUCUUCACCUCCCCCCAGCCUCCCUCUAAACUAUGUUUUAAACUCUCCCACUUCUCCCCAGCGCCUGCUGCCUGGACUGGUGCAGUAGCCUCUGCCAGCUCCACCUGUGCCCGCUCUUGUC
rnacentral:lncRNA from 1 species